rnacentral:rRNA from 1 species
GACGAACGCUGGCGGCGUGCUUAACACAUGCAAGUCGAACGGAAAGGCCCUGCUUUUGUGGGUUGCUCGAGUGGCGAACGGGUGAGUAACACGUGAGUAACCUGCCCUUGACUUUGGGAUAACUUCAGGAAACUGGGGCUAAUACCGGAUAUGAUCUCCUGCUGCAUGUUGGGGGUUGGAAAGUUUCGGCGGUUGGGGAUGGUCUCGCGGCUUAUGCGCUUGUUGGUGUGGUAGUGGCUUACCAAGGCUUUGACGGGUAGCCGGCCUGAGAGGGUGAACGGCCACAUUGGGACUGAGAGACGGACCAGACGCGUACGGGAGGCAGCAGUGGAGAAUAUUGCAGAAUGGGCGGAAGCCUGAGGCAGCAACGCCGCGUGCGUGAUGACGGCCUACGGGGUGUAAACAGCUUUCGCCGGUGACGAAGAGUGAGUGACGGUAAUGGGUAAAGAAGCACCGGCUAACUACGUG